AGAUCGCAAUGACUUAAUAUGAUGUAUCCCUAUUCGACGAGGGGUAGUAAUGUGUCAGGCCUAUAUUAUUUUGUGGUGUCGAUUACAUUAUCUGGAAACAAAGGAUGAGCAUAUUUUUUAAAUCAAUGGACUGGAGGGUCUGGCAGGUGAUUGAUAAAGAAAUUUGUAUGCCAAUGAAUGAAAGUCAUCCUAGUUUAAUGCAUGCAAAUUCAUAUGCCAUGGACUUAUUAUAUUGUGCUUUAGAUUCUAAUAUUUUAUAUGAAAUUAUGACAUGUAAAUGUGCGAGAGAUAUAUGGGAGGAGUUAGAAAAGAGAUAUGGAGUGUCUAAGAAAGAAGAGACCACCACUCCUGAAGAAUCAUGCUCAAACGAUCUAGUAGUGGUGAAUCAUGGGCUAAGUGCUUUAGACGAGGAGGAGGCGCUGGCGCACCAACUGCAUUAAUUUGAUGUAGAGAAAUAUUGCUUGCUGCAGGAGACUUGUAGAUUUCAUUUUUUUAGUUGUUCUAAGCCACGAUAUUCAGAGAAAAUUUGACUUGGUUUUCACAAGAAGCCAAGUGACGGAAAGACAAAAAUGCUUGCUGCUAACUAUGUAGACAGCAACUGGAGAACUGUUUAGACUAUCAACCAAGAGGUUUUUCCUGAAAUGCUGUGAGACUCAACAGUAUGAAACAAGCCAAACAACUAUAAGAUGUCAGACCAAUUAUAUUUCUAUGCCAAUUUAAUGGAUGCUCGAGUGUUGCCAUCAGUUACAUGCAGUCUGUUUCCAAGGGUACCUAUUGGGCCUCAAGUAAGUAUUGACAUUGGCUCCAUUAGCUCUGAACAUACUUAUCAGCACGGUUGAUAUACAUUGUCAUUAGAUAUUGGGCCUUGCAUGUAUAGAUCACAGCAUUCACUUUUUUUUCCCCCUUCAUAUUUUGACUUCCAUUCACCAUUAAAGAAUACUGUGUCUAAUUUCCUCGAUAGGUGCAUGGCCUCGUCUCUUGUUAGGCUA